rnacentral:rRNA from 1 species
AUUGAACGCUGGCGGCAGGCCUAACACAUGCAAGUCGAACGAGUGGCGGACGGGUGAGUAAUGCCUGGGAAACUGCCUGAUGGAGGGGGAUAACUACUGGAAACGGUAGCUAAUACCGCAUACCAUCAGAUGUGCCCAGAUGGGAUUAGCGAGUUGGUGGGGUAACGGCUCACCAAGGCGACGUACCCUAGCGGGUCUGAGAGGAUGACCAUCCACCCUGGAAGGUGGCCACGGUCCAGCCUCCUACGGUGCGCAGCAGGGGGGAAUAUUGCACAAUGGGCGCAAGCCUGGUGCAGCCAUGCCGCGUGUAUGAAGAAGGCCUUCGGGUUGUACGGUACUGUCAUCGGGGAGGCGUUACCCGCAGAAGAAGCACCGGCUAACUCCGUGCCGGCAGCCGCGGUAAUUC